GAUCAGAACUAUAGUGGCUAUGGCGGCUAUGAUUAUACUGGGUAUAACUAUGGGAACUAUGGAUAUGGACAGGGAUAUGCAGACUACAGCGGUCAGCAGAGCACUUACGGCAAGGCUUCCCGCGGGGGCGGCAACCACCAGAACAAUUACCAGCCCUACUGAAGGAGGCCAGGAGAGCAGCGGGAACUUCAUUGCAGGCCGUGUGUCACCCUGACCACGUCUAUCUCUGGGGGUCGCACGUUGCGGGCAGAGCGCAAGGCAUACACCAGAAAACGCUGUCCUGUGGUAUGGUCUCUUCCAACUUCAUGUACCAGCGUAAAGAUUAAAGUGGAAACUUCACACUUUGGCUUCUUUUUUAAUCUUUUUGGAGACUAAGUGUCUAAACUUAACUUAAAUGGUUUUUUACAGGAGUUAAAGUGCAUAAAUGCCUUUUUACAGCUUAAUCGUUUUGGUCUUCUGUUUAGUGUUGUAUUUCAAUUGUGGAGCCUCAUUUUAAGUGUUCAUUCUUUAAGAUUUAAUGCUUGCUUUUUCUUUUUAUAGCUAAUAGUGAAAUCUACAAACCAAAACAAGAACUUUUAAAUCUGGGAUGUAAGUUAAAGAUCACAUGCACAGAGCAAUUGGUUCCCAUGGCACUAUUGGAAACUGACCUGGGAUUUGGUGGGCGUGGCAUUCCAAUUGGCUCACUAGGGAUGCUUCUAGUUGGCCCUCGCUUGCUAGACUCGUAACAGGGAAGAGUGCAUUCCCACGUUCUAAAUUAAAUCCAUUCUGUCGUGCGGAACUCCAGUGAGUUUCAAUACCCAAACUAUAUACUUUGCUGAUGAAUAUGCAUGUGAUCUUUAAUUGAAGUGAGGACUUAAAGCAGUUCAUGAAAGUGGACCUUUGCACGCUUGUGGGGACUGCACACAUCUAAUGGGUGUUUUGUUUUUGUUUUAGGAGGUGUAAAGAAACCAUCUUACAGGACGACAUUGAAGAUUGCUUGAUCUUCUGUUGACCUAAGAUGAUUAUUUUGUAAAAGACUUUGUAGUGUACAUGACACAAUUGUGUCCAACUGUAUAUAGCUGCCAAUUAGUUCCUUUUGUUUUACUCUGUCCUUUGCUACCUGUGUUAUGACUCAAUGUGGAUUUGUGUUUAUACAAAUUUUUAUUUGUGUGGUUUCAUGUUAAACCUCAAAUAAAUGCUUCCUUAUGUGAUUGUUUUUCUGCGUCAGGUACUGCAUAGUUCUGUGGAAAUGUAAUUUUAUAAAGAAGCAAUAAUUAAGGCGCAGCUUAUUUUGUAGGGGGGUAUUGGUCCACAGGAAGAAACUGGUCUUGGUAUCCAUCCCCUUGUUUCUGGUUUCUGUGGGUGUUAUUCUGUGCUUAAAGUCUAAUGCUUCAUUUCUCUGUUGAUUCCUUCCACACCUUUUGAAUAAUGUUUUCCCCUGGGUAUCUGGAGACUGACACUAGUCUGUUGUGAUUGGUGACACUUCUGUCACGUGGUGUGCUUUUGGAUUAUGGUUCUAAGGGAAGCACCUUGCAGUGCUAGGGCUGUACCUCCCUGGCAAAAGUUCUUUGCCUGAGCACAAAUGAUGCCCUUGUUUCUAUCCCAUCACCUUAGAAAUGGACCUGUUGGCUGCCACAGAGCUUGUUAAUUGGCUGCCUUUGCUCUGUGCCUAUCUGACAAACCAUGUGUAAUUCACAGGUGACUUUAAAGAGUUGGUGGUUUGUUAGAUUAGAGGUAAAUGGAGGGGAAGAACUGGUAGCCAGGGUUUCAUCAGCUCUAUCUGGGAUUAUCCACUAAGGUCGGACAGGUGCAGUGGGGUGAGGUUUUGGGGAGGUUAGCAGUAGUGAAUCCAUCCCACCAUAGUACACACCUAAAAAGAUUUAAGCAGUUUGCUAUCAGGCAGAGGAAGGGAGUUGUGGAAAGUUAAGUGGUGUAUCUUUUGGUUCUUUAAAACUUACGGAUUUAAGCGUAAUACAGGCUUUGAGUUUUUUGGGAAAUGUUGGGCUUAGAGGUCCCUUCACAGUUGGUUCCACAAAUGCUUCUGGGUUUGGGGUACAUGUUUUAGAGUACUUGGUCUUAGACCAGUGUAAGCUUUUUAUACUGAUAUCUUUUUUUAAAUGCCUACAACUUUGUUCCAAUGAUAUUUGUGCUUGCUAGGCUGUCAAGUUACCAUACCUUGGUCUCAUUUUCCUCUGGCCAGGUACCAGUGUUGACUAUUAAAAAGAACUGUUUGUUUCAACUUGCAGCCAGAAAAUAGGUCAUCUCGCAUUCUGUUAGUGGGUACAGUAUCCCAGGAACCUGUGAGUUCAAGCUUACAAUCAGGUGACAAGUUGACAUUGAGAUUGUCAUUUCCCCUGAUCAAAAUUAAUAAAGUCUUUUUAAAAUAAAA